rnacentral:rRNA from 1 species
CGGACGGGUGAGUAAUGUAUAGGAACUUGCCUAAUAGUGGGGGACAACGUGUGGAAACGCACGCUAAUACCGCAUACGCUCUACGGAGGAAAGCGGGGGAUCUUCGGACCUCGUGCUAUAGAUGGCCUAUAUUGGAUUAGCUAGUUGGUAGGUAAAGGCUACCAAGGCGACGAUCCAUAGCUGGUUUGAGAGAAUGAUCAGCCACACUGGGACUGAGACACGGCCCAG